rnacentral:lncRNA from 1 species
UCCAAGUAUGAUUCGGGAUCAUUUCUGCCUUGGAAUGUAAGAAUGGUCAUUUUGAUGCUUUUGAUAUUGUCAUCAACUCUAUCUCUAUUCCUUCUCCUCUUACUUCCUUGGGAUAUUUCAGAUUGAACCUCUUCAUCAUAUUCAUGUCUACUUGCAUUCCUUUGCAAAUUUUCUUCGAGUUGAUCCAGACGCUCCAUCACCGUCUCCAUUGUUUGAUUGAAUUAUCUCAACAAUUGUUGUCUCUAAGCCUUUUGUUCAAAGCUUUCUUGUGGUGCCUCCAUUUCUGUUGUAUCCAUAGGAAAUGAAAAGUUUAAAUCCUCACACCCUUGUUUCCCUUCCUAAAAUGUCACUCCCCAAAUGUAACUCUC